CAGACAAGUUCACUCAUGGAGGAAGGAAUAAAAUAAGGAGAGGCAGUUACGUCACAUUUCUUGAAGCCGGAAGUAGGGAAGGGUAGAGAAGGCUCCUUCUUGCAAGGUUGGGCACGCUAACUCGCUGACGCAUGCGUCGUUAGCGGCUAGCAGACUAUCACGUCGCGCCUGCAGAGCGUCGGGGCGCCGUCAGCUGACAGACGAGCCGAAGAACGAAGCAUGUGAUUGUAUCGAAGGAAGAACAAAGGAGCGGCAAUGCCUUCUUGCAGUGUGCCCGGGUGCCGCUCGCGCGCGAUAAGAAAGGAACCGGGCGUCACCUUCCACGCCUUUCCCAAAGAUCCCCGUCGUCGGAGGCUAUAGAUCGAAGCCAUAAGACCCGGUCAACGCGACUGGGAACCGGCGAAGUCUGCUUGUGUGUGCUCAAAACACUUUGCACUUGAACACUUCAAUCGGGCGUCGCCGCUGGUAGUUCGCCUCCACGAGGAUGCCGUCCCUGCCCCGGUGAGAGACCGCAAUAACUGCGCCCUGGAGAUUUUCCAAUAAAUUUCCAACUUUGUGCUUCAUGUUUAUUCAGCUGAAUGCAAGAAAGCAAUGGUGCAAUUCGGCAGGAUGGUCGCCGCUGACAGCUCGAUCGCUUUUUUUUUCCAGGAGA
rnacentral:lncRNA from 1 species